rnacentral:sRNA from 1 species
UUGGCCCUGUGGCCGUGGCCUGGUACUGGGUAGUGUUGGGGUGCAGCCCAAGCCCCCACGCCGCUAACUCCAGCCCCUUGCUCUUUUGGGAUCCGCAGAAGCUGGAGGAUCAGGAGCAGCGGGCCCGACAGCUCAAGGAGAGGCUGCGCAGCAAGCAGAAGAGCCUGCAGCGGCAGCUGGAGCAGCUCCGGGGGCUGGCAGGGGCCGCCGAGCGGGAGCGGCUGCGGGCGGACAGCCUGGACUCCUCAGGCCUCUCCUCUGAGCGCUCAGACUCAGACCAAGGAUCCUGACGUGGCUGAAGCGGCCCCGGGAGCAUGAGCGGGCAGCGCGUGGACGUCAAGGUGGUGAUGCUGGGCAAGGAGUACGUGGGCAAGACUAGCCUGGUGGAGCGCUACGUGCACGACCGCUUUCUGGUGGGGCCUUAUCAGAACACCAUCGGGGCCGCCUUCGUGGCCAAGGUGAUGUCGGUCGGAGACCGGACUGUGACAUUAGGUAUUUGGGACACAGCAGGCUCUGAGCGCUAUGAGGCCAUGAGUAGAAUCUACUAUCGGGGUGCCAAGGCUGCCAUCGUCUGCUAUG